UACCUGCAGCUCGAGUGGUAACCGCUAUUAUUGGGCCUAAAGCGUCCGUAGCCGGUUUGGUAAAUAUCUGGGUAAAUCGUGAGGCUUAACUUCACGAAUUUCGGAUAGACUGCCAGACUUGGGAUCGGGGGAGGUCAGAGGUACUCCAGGGGUAGCGGUGAAAUGUUGUAAUCCUUGGAGGACCACCGGUAGCGAAGGCGUCUGACUAGAACGAGUCCGACGGUGAGGGACGAAGCUCUGGGGCGCAAACCGGAUUAGAUACCCGGGUAGUCCAGGGUGUAAACGAUGUGGGCUUUGUAUUGGAGGUCCCACGUGGGCGUCCAGUGCAGAAGAGAAGUUGUUAAGCCCACCGCCUGGGAAGUACGGUCGCAAGGCUGAAACUUAAAGGAAUUGGCGGGGGAGCACAGCAACGGGAGGAGCGUGCGGUUU
rnacentral:rRNA from 1 species